rnacentral:rRNA from 1 species
AUGUUCGGCGGCGGUCUCCCCAUCAUCGGUGGGAUCGGCGGGCUCACAGGGAGCAAGACCCGGCUCAAGGGGUCGGUGGUGCUGACCCGCAAGAAUGCACUCGACUUCAACGACCUGGGCGCCACCGUCAUGGACAAUGUCACCGAGUUCCUCGGCCGCGGCGUCACCUGCCAACUCAUCAGCUCCACCAUCGUCGAUUCCAACAACGGGAACCGCGGGAAGGUGAGCGCGGAGGCGAGCCUGGAGCAGUGGAUCACGAGCCUGCCGUUCAUCACGGUGGGCGAGAACAAGUUCAGCGUCACCUUCGACUGGGCGGUGGACAAGCUGGGCGUGCCGGGCGCCAUCAUCGUCAAGAACAACCACGCCUCCGAGUUCUUCCUCAAGACCAUCACCCUCGACAACGUCCCCGGCCACGGCAAGGUCGUCUUCGUCGCCAACUCGUGGGUGUACCCGCAGGCCAAGUACCGCUACAGCCGCGUCUUCUUCGCCAAUGAUACGUACCUGCCCACCAAGAUGCCGGCGGCACUGAAGCCCUACCGCGACGACGAGCUCCGUAACCUGAGAGGGGACGACCAGCAGGGGCCUUACGAGGCGCACGACCGCGUCUACCGCUACGACGUCUACAACGACCUCGGCGACUCCCGCCAGAUCCUCGGCGGCUCCAAGGAGUUCCCCUACCCUCGCCGCUGCCGCACCGGCCGCAAGCUCUCACAGACCAACCCUGAUCGCGAGAGCCGGCUUCUGCCGCUGGUGCAGAGCAUCUACGUGCCGCGGGACGAGCUGUUCGGGCAUCUCAAGAAGUCGGACUUCCUGGGCUACUCGCUCAAGGCGCUGGUAGAUGGCAUCGUGCCGGCCAUCCGCACCUACGUCGACCUCUCCCCCGGCGAGUUCGACUCCUUCGCCGACAUCCUCAAGCUCUACGAGGGUGGCAUCAAGCUGCCCAGCAUCCCGGCCCUCGAGGAGGUGCGCAAGCGCUUCCCGCUCCAGCUCGUCAAGGACCUCAUCCCCAUGGGCGGCGACUACCUCCUCAAGCCCCCCAAGCCGCAAGUCAUCAAACAGGACGAGAAAGCAUGGAUGACCGACGCCGAGUUCGCAAGGGAGAUUCUCGCCGGCGUCAACCCGAUGAUGAUCACCCGUGUGACGGAGUUUCCUCCCAAGAGUAGUCUGGAUCCCAGCCAGUACGGCGACCACACCAGCACCAUCACCGAGGCGCAGAUCGGGUCGAGCCUCGAGGGCAUCACCGUGCAGCAGGCAGUCUCCAGCAACAGGCUCUACAUCCUCAACCACCACGACCACAUGAUGCCGUACCUCGUCAGGCUCAACAACCUCGACGACACCUUCCUCUACGCCACCAGGACUCUGCUCUUCCUCAAAGGUGACGGCACACUGGCGCCGGUCGCCAUCGAGCUGAGCACGCCGCUGCUCCAGGGCGGCCUCACCACCGCCAAGAGCACCGUCUACACUCCGGCGUCCACCGGCGUCGAGGCCUGGAUAUGGCAGCUCGCCAAGGCGUACGUCUGCGUCAACGACUACGGCUAUCACCAGCUGGUCAGCCACUGGCUCAACACGCACGCCGUGAUGGAGCCCUUCAUCAUCGCCACCAACCGGCAGCUGAGCGUGACGCACCCGGUGCACAAGCUGCUGCACCCGCACUACCGUGACACAAUGAACAUCAACUCGCGGGCGCGCGAGCUGCUCGUCAGCGCCGGCGGGAUCAUCGAGCUCACCGUCUUCCAGCGCAAGUACGCCAUGGAGAUGUCCUCCGUCACCUACAAGGACUGGAACUUCAACGAGCAGGCCCUACCAGACGAUCUAAUCAAGAGGGGCAUGGCGUGGCGCGACCCAUCUAGCCCGCACAAGGUGCGGCUGCUACUUGAGGACUACCCUUACGCGGUGGAUGGGCUCGCUAUCUGGACCGCCAUCGAGCAGUGGGUGACAGAGUAUCUGGCCAUCUACUACACCAGCGACAGUGUGCUUCAGAGCGACGUGGAGCUGCAGGCGUGGUGGAAGGAGGUACGCGAGGUCGGCCACGGCGAUCUCAAGGACGCGGCAUGGUGGCCCAAGAUGAUGACGGUGGCGGAGCUGGUCAAGGCCUGCGCCACCAUCAUCUGGACCGGGUCCGCGCUGCACGCCGCCGUAAACUUCGGGCAGUACCCCUACGCAGGUUACCACCCCAACAAGCCGUCAGCGAGCCGUCGUCCGAUGCCGGAGCCGGACACCGAGGAGUACGCCUUGCUGGCCCGCGACCCAGAAAAGGUGUUCAUCCACACCAUUACCAACCAGGUGCAGUCCAUCAUUGGCAUUUCCCUGCUGGAGAUCCUGUCCAAGCACUCCUCCGACGAGAUUUAUCUCGGGCAGCGUGACACGCCGGAGUGGACCUCGGAUGCCAAGGCGCUGGAGGCGUUCAAGCGGUUCGGCACAAGGCUGGAAGGCAUCGAGAGCCAGGUGGUGGCCUUGAACGGAAACCCCCAGCUCAAGAACCGCAAUGGACCAGCCCAAUUCCCCUACAUGUUGCUCUACCCCAACACCUCCGACCACACGGGCAAGGCCGAGGGGCUCACGGCCAGGGGCAUCCCCAACAGCAUCUCCAUCUGA